rnacentral:rRNA from 1 species
AACGAACGCUGGCGGCAUGCCUAACACAUGCAAGCCGAACGAACCCUUCGGGGUUAGUGGCGCACGGGUGCGUAACGCGUGGGAAUCUGCCCUUUGCUUCGGAAUAACAGUUAGAAAUGACUGCAAAUACCGGAUGAUGUCUUCGGACCAAAGAUUUAUCGGCAAGGGAUGAGCCCGCGUAGGAUUAGGUAGUUGGUGGGGUAAAGGCCUACCAAGCCGACGAUCCUUAGCCGGUCUGAGAGGAUGAUCAGCCACACGGGGACUGAGACACGGCCCAGACUCCUACGGGAGGCAGCAGUGGGGAAUAUUGGACAAUGGGCGCAAGCCUGAUCCAGCAAUGCCGCGUGAGUGAUGAAGGCCUUCGGGUCGUAAAGCUCUUUUACCAGGGAUGAUAAUGACAGUACCUGGAGAAUAAGCUCCGGCUAACUCCGUGCCAGCAGCCGCCGUAAUAC